rnacentral:lncRNA from 1 species
AGGUGUUCACCUAGGAUGAUUUUGAAAUGUUUUGUUCCAUUGUUGGUUCAUAAGACUUUAAUGGAGGUUUGGAAUUGAUUUUUGACUAUGGAGUGAAAGUUUUGGAAGAUUUUUGUGACUUAUUUUUUUAAAGAGAUAAACACAAUAAACUCUGGUAUGAUCAUCAGUGAACAUAAUAAUAAAUCAUCUAGUAACUGCAAUAGAGAAAGCCUCCAAAUAUCACCAUGAACUAUGGAGAAUAGUCUAGUGGAUCGAGACUCUUUAAGUAUGGUUUGGUUCGCAGUGGGUUCUCAACAACAUGAACAAAUUCAGCAAAAAAAUGGGCGUCUCUUUU